rnacentral:misc_RNA from 1 species
GAUGAAGAACGUAGCGAAAUGCGAUACUUGGUGUGAAUUGCAGAAUCCCGUGAACCAUCGAGUCUUUGAACGCAAGUUGCGCCCGAAGCCAUUAGGCCGAGGGCACGCCUGCCUGGGCGUCACACGUCGUUGCCCCCCCAUCUACUCCUUCGGGAUUGCGGGGGGCGGAUGAUGGCCUCCCGUGCGCCUCGUCGCGCGGUUGGCAUAAAUGCCAAGUCCUCGGCGACACACGCCACGACAAUCGGUGGUUGCGAAACCUCGGUUGCCCGUCGUGUGCGGUCGUCGCGCAUCGAGGGCUCGAAAAAAUUGCCGGGCUCCGGCUCGGCUUUCAACGCGACCCCAGGUCAGGCGGGGUUACCCGCUGAAUUUAAGCAUAUCAAUAAGCGGAGA